GUUUUACUUGAAAGUUUAGAAGAAGAGACGAAUGUUUAAGAUUACAAAGAAAACGGAACAAUCGCUUUAUUGGAAAAGUUUUUGUACGUAGAGUCGUAGAUCUACGCGAAAAAUAGCACAGCAAAUAAAAUUACGAAAAUGUAGAAAGUAGAAGUUUGGUGUCGCGGCCCUCAUGUCAUGUCCUCCACUCCAUGCUGUUUAGCAGAUUUGAGGCCUGAGCUAGUCGUCACUACCACAAAAUAUGCAAGUGUUGCUUGUGCUGGAAUUGAUCUGCCUCCAGCAACAAUCUCAUGAAAUCGCUGUAUAAGAUAAACAACAUCCCGUUGGA
rnacentral:lncRNA from 1 species